rnacentral:lncRNA from 1 species
AGAUGUGUGGCACCUCCAAUACCUAUUUGGAACAUUGGACUCAUUAUAAUGCACCUUAAUGAGACGCUAUGAACAAGUUAUCCCUAUAACUGUAUCAUUUUAUGGACCUAAUAAUUUAGAGGAUUUGAUUUCAUUGAUCUGAGAAUAAGAGAAGAAGUUGACUUGCAAGUUGUAAAUCUUCUCACUGACUUCACCAAAUCAUAUAGAGGAUUAGACACAAGCUAGUCUAAAGACAUCUAAAUCAGUCAUACUGAUUAAUCUUGAUGGCAUGGGUCAGUACAAAUUGACUAGUAACUUAAUCAAAACAUAAUCUAUCAUAAUGGCCAAGCAAGU